CCCCAGCUGCUCUGCACAGCGCAGAGCCUAAAUAUCACUCAGCUUGGCACACCCAAAGGAGGCCUCCAAAGUGGUAAGAAAUCUCCGCCUAUCCAUAAUGGCAGCAGAAAUUAUCCCGCAGGAUUGUGUCUAACCUUAACCCGUCAAAACCAAUGGGUGGUCUGUCUCAGACCUUAAGGAUCCCUAGGAAGUCAAAGCCAGCAAUUCCACUUCCCCUACUAAUUCAAGCUUCACUCCAACCCAGCAGCUCCAGGUCCCAACGUAGAUGUGGAGUGGCAUGCCUUUAUUUGAAACUCCAUGGGCCACCGGAAGAUGUCUAUUGUAUGGGGAGAAAGCAUAAAGAAAAGGAAGAAAGCUGGUUCCCUUCGUUUGACAGCAAAUAUACAGACCAUCGGCCACUGGCCCAUGGAAAUUUGAAAAAAGACUGAAAGUGUCCUAAAGAUGGGUUUUCCAUAGGGGACCCCAGGAGAGGGAAAGGUAACUGUCAAGGAGGGAAAGUAGCCUCACCUAUCACAAAGGAGGCUGUCAUAGAUCUAGAUAUGCCCCUUCCUAACUCAGACCUCUUCCAACCAUUCCACAAGCAAAAUGAAGACAAAUUUGCCAUUUCCCCCAUGUCAUUUUGUCCCUGGUAGGCUGUGAAAACAGCAGCAUUGAGAGUCUCUGAAGUUUGGGUGAGAGCAGAUGACAAAUCUGUGAGCAGCCCUGUGGUUUGACGAUAGGAAGUUCAACUACCUGGCGGGAGCAGUCAAUGGGGGUGAUGAAGCAUGCAGAAGCCCUGGCUUCUGACUCUACCCACAUCACAAUUCCAGCCCUCGUUUUGUCGAAACUUCUGUGUGGAUGCACCGCUGAUCCCUUUCCAUCCAAAUCAGUCAUCGCAGGCUCCAGAAGAUAUCAGCUUUGGUCCAAAGGUAAACAGCUCUCUGACUCAUUUAAACUCUCAAAAUAUCUGUUCUGACAAGGCCUCUUUGAAAACGUUGCCAAAUUUUCCAUAUUGCCUUAUUUUCCCACCACCAUAACCCUCUGAGCCUCAAGAUUAUUUACAAGUCUCAUAUCUCAGAAAGAACAGAUCUGCUGCAUGCUAUGUGAAGAAUUAAACUAAAAUUGUUCUUAAGUAAAAAAAAAAAAAAAUGCAACUCCUGGA
rnacentral:lncRNA from 1 species